UUCAUUUGGAACCCAAAAUACAAUAACUAUUCUUCAACUAGAAACAACGACAAUUGGGGACUAGGGUUCAUCAAUUACUAAACAAGUAAACAUCAAACCCUAAGUCACCAUAAAUCUCUCCAUCCUACGAUCGAAUUCCCAAAAUCAUUACGUCAUUCCAGUGAAUUCACCCAAUCUACUCACCAGUCUUGAGUUUAAGACAAUCAAUUCGAGUGUUCUGUAUCAUCGCAAUUGGAUUCACCAUACCUAUUCCCUGAUUAAGAAGUUACUCAUUAUUUUGGUUGGAAGGGUUAAGGGAAAGAGAGUUAUGUUCUUGAAGUAGCUUACUUCCAGAUUGCUUCUCAUCACUGGUGAAAUUUCUUUGUAAUUUUUUUGGGUUUAAUGUUUCUUGUGAAUGUAUAAAUGUCGACACAUUAUGCCACAUGCGAAAAUAGUGCACACUAUAUAUUAGGCUAUUUUACAUCAUUGCUAAGCUACAUUUUUUCACGCUAAAUCAUGCCUGAACCGCAUUUUUCCACGUUACAUAAUCAGGAACCCUAUAUUGGAUACUACUCUUAUAAUCAUUACAUGCAGUGGCGGAACUAGAACAUCAACUCAGGGGUAUCCCUCAAAUUUUUUUUAUCGUUCAAUUGCUCAAAUCAAUAAUCAUUCAAUUUUGGGCUAUUAUUUACUUAUUUGGGCUUAGCAAAUGUGUAUUAUUUACUUAUUUGGGCUUACCUAAUGUGUUAUUAUUUACUUAUUUGAGCUUACCAAUAUCUUAUUAUUUUGUAAAAAAAAUUUGAGGGGUGUCCUCGUACUUGUUCAGGGGUGUCCUAUGUAUAAAAAUCGAAAAAAAUAAAAAAUUUAACACUACUAGUAAAAACUUGAGCCGUAGCCCGGGCUACGCCCCACAUAACUAAGGGUCCGCCCCUGAUUACAUGGUUCAUUUAAUGACUUAUUAUAAAUACAGAGCAUGCCUUCAUAUGACUUUAUGGUGAAUUUUGCAGACCACAUACAUGUGUCUUUAGAGUUGAUUUAACAUUUACUCCAUUGUUAAAUGGCCGGUUACAAUUGGAAGACAAAGCUCCCUAGAUCAAAAACAUGAACGGAAGAUUUCAUGCAUUGGCCUAUGCUCGAUUGACAUUUGAUAAUCAUGUUGCAUUAUUUGACAUGUCAUCUGCUUUUAAAUGCACCUACGUUAUUACUUUUAUACUUAUUAUUUAAGAUCCAAUUUACUAACAUGUUGAUCGUCAUUGAACUGAGUGAUUUGCAUGGGACAACACAACUAUGGUCGGACAUGGUCAAAAUAUUUACACGUUCUAACCUAUACAUCGAAUAAUCCUAAUUUAAGCACGCAGACCUAGCUAGGUGCAACCGAUAUGCCAGACAAAGCUCUACGCACAUGAGUCACGGGUGACAUGUUCUAAAUCUCAUCCCUAAAUGUAGUACGAAUAUAAUCCUUGAUAACUGAGCUAUCUAUCCAAUAUGUAUACACAUGCAUUACUUUAUUCAUUAGAUGGUUUAUUAUAAUUAGGGCAUUUACUCCCGUAUGACUUGAUGAGAUACUCCAUAAACUAUAUAUUUGCCUUUGACAAUGAUCUGACAAUAAAAUAAUACCUACAAGCAAGGCACAUCGCCCACUAAACAAAAAGUGGUAAUAAAGGUUUCACCUCUAUUUCACGCACACGUAUCUACAAUAUGUUUAAACUAAUUAAUAAGCAUGCCAUAGUCUUUAGCAUGUUAUGCUGCAUAUUAGGGGUGUGAAUUUCUGACCCGACACGAACCUAAGACGAAAUAUAUGGGUUUAGGUUUAGUCUAAACGGGUUCGGGUCAGUUUCAGGUUGAACCCGCGAACCCGUUUAGAUAAACGGGUCGGGUUUGGGUCAACCUGGUCAAGUUGAUGGGUUGACCCGUUUAACCCCUUUGUAUUAUAUAAUAUUUUUUUACAAUAUGUUUUAUGUUAUAAAUUAAAUUGGCUAUGUAUUUUAUGCUAAAAUUGUAACUUAGAAAAAGAAAUUCACAUAAGAUUUUAUAAUUUAAAUGUAAUUGUAUUAUAUACAUUUGUGUUUUUUAAGUAAACUUUAAAUGUAAUAUAUUAAUUUGUGUACAAAAAAUUAAAAAAUAAAAGUUUUCGGGUUGAACGGGUUGUGUUCGGGUCAACCCAUGAAUAUUCGGUUCGGGUUCAUUGGUAUGACACAAUUUUCGGGUUCGGGUCGGGUUCGGGUUUGUAUAAAAUUUUUGGGUUCGGGUCGGGUUGAACCCGCCAACCCGCGAACACGACCCGUUUAGCACCCCUACUGCAUAUGUACAUGCAUUAUUUAAUUUAUACUUAUCAUGCAAGUUCAGAGCUACUAACAUCAUCUAGCAACAUCAAGCUGAUGACUUGCAGGCUCUAACAACACAGACAAUCCAAUUUCCGAUCGUGGUCUGGCAACACCGAGGGUUUCAGUCUGUACCUUCCGGUUUACACACUUAAUUAUCUGUAUUGUGGAACAUAGUUAGGGUCACACAACUUCAUUUAGAACUGUCCUACUUGACAAUUGACAUUUAUCGGCGUGCUACACACUCAGUAGUGAUACACCUUCGUCAGAUUACGUAUUUGAUGAGGCUAGACUUAUGCUAGACGAUAUUGUGCUAGAUUACAUAUUCAGGUACACAAUUUCAGAACACGCUUGUGAAUGAUUGCACAGUGAACGUGCGUUAGAUCGGUUGGAGGCGCGGAUGGACGCCGCUCACCACCGUAUGGAACGUCUUCUCAUGCGAGCGAUCCAGGGCAAUAUACAGGCCACUAUGGCGCGUGGUGAGCAGCCAUUGCCGAUACCGCCGUUCUCGCCUGUCCCUGGAGAGGAUGCGGAUCAGGGGGCGGUAACCUCAGGCACUCAGGGGGCGGGGCCCUUAGACACCACUCAGGAUCCAUAGGUUUAGGAUCGUUGUACUUUUCUUGUAUUUUGACGGUUUAUGUAUUUUGAACAAUGUCAUGUGUUUUUACAAACUUAUUAUGUAAUUAAAUUUGCAGUUUCAGUUUA